rnacentral:rRNA from 1 species
UAAGACGGAGGGUGCUAGCGUUGUUCGGAAUCACUGGGCGUAAAGGGCGCGUAGGCGGCUUUGGCAGUCGGCUUGUGAAAGCCCGGGGCUCAACCCCGGAGGUGCGGCCGAUACUCCAAGGCUGGAGGCCGGAAGAGGAGGGUGGAAUACCCAGUGUAGAGGUGAAAUUCGUAGAUAUUGGGUGGAACACCGGUGGCGAAAGCGGCUCUCUGGUCCGGUCCUGACGCUGAGGCGCGAAAGCGUGGGGAGCAAACAGGAUUAGAUACCCUGGUAGUCCACGCCCUAAACGAUGUGGGCUAGGCGUCGGGGGGCUUGCCCUUCGGUGCCGCAGCUAACGCAUUAAGCCCACCGCCUGGGGAGUACGGCCGCAAGGUUA